ensembl:lncRNA
CGACAACAGCUGCCUAUCACUAUGUUCUUCUCCCGAACAAACACACCUGCACCGCGGGCUUCAGAAGAAGAGAACACUGCAGAGCGCAGUCAGGAUGCAGCGGCCCAGUCUGAAGAGCAGUGAAACGGCCUACACCUAUAACAACUUCAGAGGAAGCUGGUCGGCCAUAACACGAGGUUCGGCCUGAUAGACUUUCGCCUGGCACUCUGCAAGGAUGGAGAAACGGACGUAUGGUUUCCCAGGAGCAUUGCAGCAGUCGACUGAUUCGGGAGGAAGCGUGGCUCAGAAAUGUUACCUGCUGUGCUUAUCUCCUCUGAGAAGAACACCACCUUCACCUGGACGAGACGGCAGUCUGAAAGGUGAAAUAACAGGCGAUGUGCGUGCAGUCGGCUUGAAGCUCUUCCGAUCUGCGGCUGUCGGGUCACUGAGGUGCUAACGAAAUGAUUGAUCCCACGGACGCCGUCCGGUCACGCUCGUCGCUUCCCUCAGGCCUCAGGCUGGCCAAUCGUCCUCCCAGUAAAACCAGC